AAUAGAUACCCUGGUAGUCCACGCCGUAAACGAUGCUAACUCGUUUUGGGCCUUUGGGUUCAGAGACUAAGCGAAAGUGAUAAGUUAGCCACCUGGGGAGUACGUUCGCAAGAAUGAAACUCAAAGGAAUUGACGGGGGCCCGCACAAGCGGUGGAUUAUGUGGUUUAAUUCGAUGAUACGCGAGGAACCUUACCAAGGCUUAAAUGGGAAAUGACAGGCUUAGAAAUAGGCUUUUCUUCGGACAUUUUUCAAGGUGCUGCAUGGUUGUCGUCAGCUCGUGCCGUGAGGUGUUAGGUUAAGUCCUGCAACGAGCGCAACCCCUGUCACUAGUUGCCAUCAUUAAGUUGGGGACUCUAGUGAGACUGCCUACGCAAGUAGAGAGGAAGGUGGGGAUGACGUCAAAUCAUCACGGCCCUUACGCCUUGGGCCACACACGUAAUACAAUGGCCAGUACAGAGGGCAGCUACACAGCGAUGUGAUGCAAAUCUCGAAAGCUGGUCUCAGUUCGGAUUGGAGUCUGCAACUCGACU
rnacentral:rRNA from 1 species